CCGGGGUACCUACCUGUAGGUAUGUAUGAUCUGGGGUACCUACCUGUAGGUAUGUAUGACCUAGGGUACCUACCUGUAGGUAUGUAUGAUCUGGGGUACCUACCUGUAGGUAUGUAUGAUCUGGGGUACCUACCUUUAGGUAUGUAUGAUCCAGGGUACCUACCUGUAGGUAUGUAUGAUCUGGGGUACCUACCUGUAGGUAUGUAUGAUCCGGGGUACCUACCUGUAGGUGUAUGGACGACCUUGGGUACCUACCUGUAGGUAUGUAUGAUCCAGGGUACCUACCUGUAAGUAUGUAUGACCUAGGGUACCUACCUGUAGGUAUGUAUGAUCCGGGGUACCUACCUGUAAGUAUGUAUGAUCCAGGGUACCUACCUGUAGGUAUGUAUGAUCCAGGGUACCUACCUGUAGGUGUGUAUGAUCCAGGGUACCUACCUGUAGGUAUGUAUGAUCCAGGGUACCUACCUGUAGGUAUGUAUGACCUAGGGUACCUACCUGUAGGUAAAUAUACAACCUAGAGUUCCUACCUACAGGAAUGUAAGAUCCGUGGUACCUACCUGUACAUGUAGGUAUGUAUGAUACUUGUAAGUAGGUAGGUACGGCCCUGAAUAUUUAUCUAGGUACUUGUGCUUAGCACAGAGUGUGUAGAAUAAAUUCUAAUUACAUGCGGGACCAUGUAUGUUUUGUAGAUUUAACAUAAAUACAAAAAUUUCUAUUUUUGUUUAGUUUUGAUGAAUCAAUGUAAAAGUUUGUCUUUUCAGCCUUGUGCUCUGUAAGACUAUUAUGUUGUACUGUUUUUCAGAUUGCGAUUGUUGUCACUAUGUAAACUAAAAUGAGCUAGAUUUGUUUGACAGGAUCAGCUAGAAUUUUGCUCAUCAAUGUUGUAGAUUCCUUCUAUUGGGUUAAAAGUGCAUGUGAAAUUUAGAAGAUGUUUGAAAAUCUGUUGAAAAAUUGGGUAAUUAUUUUUUGAUAAGUUCAUGGAUAAUUCUUAUAAACCCUUGACAUUUCCCCAUGAAUAUCUCAUUGUUUAUCAUAUGUCUGUCUGUGUAAUUAAUGUUAAUGUUGUACUCUUUAACUGUACUGAACCAUGAUUGCUUUCCUUAGGUGCUCUAGAGAUAGGCAGUCAGUCAUCCAUAUGAGAUUGUUAAAUUGCUCUUGAAUUUAAUAUUUUGUCUGAACGGGUCUAUAUAGUGAUCCUGACAAUAUGAAUAAUGAUGUGUACAAUAUUGUAAGUGCUUCUGGUAUUACUAUGUCAAAAAACCUAUUAAUUUUCAUUAUUUAUGAUAAAACUUUGUGGUUUGUGAAUGUAGAGUAAAGAAUAAGUAUUUGUCAAUUUGUGAUGCGAUUUCUCCACAUAACCAGUAAUAACCAUCGCAAUUUGUAUGCAUCAUUGCAUAUACAUGUACAUUACGGAUGGCUGGUAUUUUACAAAAAAAAAACAACACUAGUCAGUUAUACAUUUAAUAAGAAAUUUAUUGCUGAAGUGGCAAAGAUAAAUAUGCACUGAUUAAUGUUUAAAAAUUGAUUCAAAAGCUUCAUGUAAAUCCAGUAAUUUAUACAUUUAUAACAAAUUUGUUUUAUUUACCUUUAUCAUAUAGAACAAUAUAAAUUUAGAUCAAUAUCUCGAUUUUUCGUGUCUUUGUCAAUUGUGCAACAUGAUCACGAUCAGAAAUGUUCUGAACGAUAUUAUGAUCAUUCUUGCAGGUUGGGUUUGUUGUCUCCUAGAAAAACAUAAAAUCUCAAAAUAAAGAUCAUGUAAAAUUGCUUAUAGUCGAAGAACCGCAUGACAUGUAUGGCCUUCUAUUACAAGUUUUUGUAAUUUGCUGCUUAAAUGAUAUUUUGCUGAUAGAUUUGAUAAUCCCUGUAUAGAUUUUGGUGAAUAUGUAUCAUUACAUGACAUUGAGUAUGUUUAUCGUGUAUUUAGAUGUACCUUUGUUUCCGAAGGUUUAUACAUGUGUUAAAAAUUGUUAUUAAGACCAGGAGACGUUUGCCAAUGUUCAUCAUUGUAUCACGUGGCAUUAGGAAUUUCAUUUAUUAGUGAUCAUGAUCACUUCAUAUGGAAUAGUGUCAUUAUAAACAUCACCUGAAACUGAACUUCCUGUUGCAAGUAUUGCAUUUUAUUACAUUUUUACCAUUGAAUUAUUGAAAAUGAUAUUUUUCAAAAAUAUAACUUUUUCUGAUAUUUUUCACUAGUUUCUUGUGAAUUUAAUUUAAUUUAAGCAAUGUUUUUACCAAAAAAAACCAACAUGAAAAUAUCACCUUUUUUUAUUUGACCAAUCAAAACACUGCUUUCAAAUGACAAUGGGGAUAAUUAAAAGCUGACCCGUUAUAUUUUGCUAUAAAAAUGUAAUAAACAGAAUAUCCUUAAGUAUCUUCAGUGAUACCAAAUAUCCUUUACUUGUAUGGCUAAGUAUUUUGAUAUUUUUCACUUGUGCUGUGCACUUGUGCAAAAUAUUAAAAUAUCGGCGCCACUUGUGAAAUAUACAGGUAUUUGGUAUUACUGAAGACACUGUUAGAUAUCCUCUAUGUAUUUUCGGUAUUGACAAUGAGGAGAUUGUUGAUAUAGAACAAUAAGAUGACAUUUAGUUAAGAAAUAACAAGUAUUUGCUGUGGUAAAUGCAACAACAAAAAUAAAAAUAACACAUCAUAUUUCAUUCAUUAUCAAAUCAUGCGAAUAAAAUUAAAAUAAAUAUCAAAGUCUCAAA